GACGAACGCUGGCGGCGUGCCUAAUACAUGCAAGUAGAACGCUGACUACUUUAGCUUGCUAGAGUAGAAGGAGUUGCGAACGGGUGAGUAACGCGUAGGUAACCUGCCUACUAGCGGGGGAUAACUAUUGGAAACGAUAGCUAAUACCGCAUAACAGUGUUUAACACAUGUUAGAUGCUUGAAAGAUGCAAUUGCAUCACUAGUAGAUGGACCUGCGUUGUAUUAGCUAGUUGGUGGGGUAACGGCCCACCAAGGCGACGAUGCGUAGCCGACCUGAGAGGGUGAUCGGCCACAUUGGGACUGAGACACGGCCCAG
rnacentral:rRNA from 1 species